rnacentral:rRNA from 1 species
ACGGCUCAGUAACACGUGGACAACCUACCCUGAGGUCGGGGAUAAACCCGGGAAACUGGGUAUAAUACCCGAUAGAUCUAGAUCGCUGGAAUGCUUUUAGGUCUAAAGUUCCGACGCCUCAGGAUGGGUCUGCGGCCUAUCAGGGUAGUAGUGGGUGUAAAGUACCUACUAGCCUACGACGGGUACGGGUUGUGAGAGCAAGAGCCCGGAGAUGGAUUCUGAGACACGAAUCCAGGCCCUACGGUGCAGCAGGCGCGAAACCUUUACAAUGCUGGCAACAGCGAUAAGGGGACCUCGAGUGCUACGAUACAAUCGUGGCUGUCUAGUUGCCUAAAAAGCAAUUGAUAGCAAGGGCCGGGCAAGACCGGUGCCAGCCGCCGCGGUAACACCGGCGGCUCGAGUGGUAACCGCUAUUAUUGGGUCUAAAGGGUCUGUAGCCGGCUUAGUUAGUCUCUUGAGAAAUCUGGCCGCUCAACGGUCAGGCGUUCAGGGGAUACUGCUAAAGCUCGAGACCGGGAGAGGUGAGAGGUACUUCAGGGGUAGGGGUGAAAUCUUGUAAUCCUUGAAGGACCACCAGUGGCGAAGGCGUCUCACCAGAACGGAUCUGACGGCAAGGGACGAAAGCUAGGGGCACGAACCGGAUUAGAUACCCGGGUAGUCCUAGCCGUAAACGAUACUCGCUAGGUGUCGGCCACGGUGCGACCGUGGUCGGUGCCGUAGGGAAGCCGUGAAGCGAGCCACCUGGGAAGUACGGCCGCAAGGCUGAAACUUAAAGGAAUUGGCGGGGGAGCAC